UACUGAGUGUCAACUCAAUUCAAUUGAAGGAAGCAAAUUAUUGAUCCUGGGUGUGUCUGUGAGGGUGUUGCUGAAGAAGAUUAACAUUUGAGUCAGUGGACUGGGAAAGGCAGACCCACCCUUAAUCUGGAUGGGCACCAUAUAAUCACCUGCCAACACAGCCAGGACAUAAAGUAGGCAGAAAAACAUGAAAGGGCUAGACUUGCCUAACCUCCCAGCCUACAUCUGUCUCAUGUGCUGGAUGCUUCCUGCCUUUGAACAUCAGACUCCAGGUUCUUCAGCCCUGGCACUUGGACUGACUUCCUUGCUCCUCAGCUUGCAGACAGCCUACUGUGGACCUUGUGAUCACGUGAUCAUAAGACAGAUGCAUCUUGAAGAAUGACAGUGGAUUAUCAUAACCAUAACCAAGUGAUGACUCCAGUUGUGGCUGCUGUGCCAGAUAUGGUUUCAUUGCUUGAGCAAAUUAACACAUCUCCUGGCACCUUGUAUGCAGCCAUUGACUUGGAAAAUGCUUUUCUCCAUUCCUGUCCAUAAAGCCCACCGGAAGCAAUUUGCCUUCAGCUGUCAAGGCCAGCAAUGUAUCUUUACUGUGCUACUUAAGGGGUAUAUCAACUCUCCAGCUUUGUGUCAUAAAUCUUAUUUAGAGAAACCUUGAUCACUUUUCACUCCCAAAAGAUAUCACAUUGGUCCAUUUUAUUUAUGACAUU
rnacentral:lncRNA from 1 species